rnacentral:rRNA from 1 species
GAUGAACGCUGGCGGCGUGCCUAAUACAUGCAAGUCGAGCGAACAGACGAGGAGCUUGCUCCUCUGACGUUAGCGGCGGACGGGUGAGUAACACGUGGAUAACCUACCUAUAAGACUGGGAUAACUUCGGGAAACCGGAGCUAAUACCGGAUAAUAUAUUGAACCGCAUGGUUCAAUAGUGAAAGACGGUUUUGCUGUCACUUAUAGAUGGAUCCGCGCCGCAUUAGCUAGUUGGUAAGGUAACGGCUUACCAAGGCAACGAUGCGUAGCCGACCUGAGAGGGUGAUCGCCCACACUGGAACGGAGACACGGUCCAGACUCCUACGGGAGGCAGCAGUAGGGAAUCUUCCGCAAUGGGCGAAAGCCUGACGGAGCAACGCCGCGUGAGUGAUGAAGGUCUUCGGAUCGUAAAACUCUGUUAUGAGGGAAGAACAAAUGUGUAAGUAACUAUGCACGUCUUGACGGUACCUAAUCAGAAAGCCACGGCUAACUACGUG